GCAUCCAUAGUUGAAUGGUUAAAGUGUUCAAUUCAUAAUUAGAGAAUUCGUAAGUUCAAUUUUUAUUUGGAUGUA